UACGUAGGGUCCAAGCGUUAUCCGGAAUCACUGGGCGUAAAGCGUCUGUAGGUGGCGUGUUAAGUGUGAUGUUAAAUCGUGGGGCUCAACCCUGUCGCUGUAUCACAUACUGGCACACUAGAGGACGGCAGAGGCAAGUGGAAUUUGUAGUGUAGCAGUGAAAUGCGUAGAUAUUACAAGGAACACCAAUGGCGAAGGCAGCUUGCUGGGCCAAUCCUGACACUGAGAGACGAAAGCGUGGGGAGCGAACAGG
rnacentral:rRNA from 1 species